rnacentral:rRNA from 1 species
GCGAGCCUGAUCCAGCCAUGCCGCGUGAAUGAUGAAGGCCUUAGGGUUGUAAAAUUCUUUCAGCAGGGAAGAUAAUGACGGUACCUGCAGAAGAAGCCCCGGCUAACUCCGUGCCAGCAGCCGCGGUAAUACGGAGGGGGCUAGCGUUGUUCGGAAUUACUGGGCGUAAAGCGCUCGUAGGCGGAUUGGUCAGUCAGGGGUGAAAGCCCGGAGCUCAACUCCGGAACUGCCUUUGAUACUGCCAGUCUUGAGUUCGGGAGAGGUGAGCGGAAUACCGAGUGUAGAGGUGAAAUUCGUAGAUAUUCGGUGGAACACCAGAGGCGAAGGCGGCUCACUGGACCGAUACUGACGCUGAGGAGCGAAAGCGUGGGGAGCAAACAGGAUUAGAUACCCUGGUAGUCCACGCCGUAAACGAUGAGAGCUAGUUGUCUGGCAGCAUGCUGUUAGGUGACGCAGCUAACGCAUUAAGCUCUCCGCCUGGGGAGUACGGCCGCAAGGUUAAAACUCAAA